rnacentral:lncRNA from 1 species
GAGGGCCCCUAUCCCGACAGGGAUGACCCUAUGUCCCCAAAGUGGGGGUCCCUGCCCCCCGGGGGGGUCCCCAUGUCCCCAGUUUGGGGGUCCCUGCCCCCCGGGGGGUCCCCAUGUCUCCAAUUUGGGGGUCUCUAUCCCCAGGGGGGACCCCACAUCCCUAAAGUGGGGGUCCCUGCCCCCCAGGGGGGUCCCUACGUCCCCAAAGGGAGCUCCCCCUGUCCCCAAAGUUGGGAGGGGGUCCCUGCCCCAAAGGCAGCUCCCCCGGCCCCCAGAGCGGGGGGGUGGGGGCCGGGGGUCUCGAUGCCCCCCCGGUCCCGGUUCCGGUCCCGCUCCGGGUCCCGUACUUGCGGCGCAGGCGCUCCAUGGCGCUGGCCACGCGUUCUCGGUGCGCGUUGCCGUCCCGUUGCAGGCUCUCCCCGGCCCGCAACGCCAGGCGCGCCUUCCUGCGGCUCAGCUCCGCGCCGCCGCCCGCCUCCUGGAGCCUCCGGAUGGCGGCGGUCACCUCCUCCACCGCGUCCGGGAGCUCCGCGCGGCUCAGAGCGGCCUCCUGCCCCGGGGGGGAGAGCGGGAGUCGGGGCCGAAAGAACCGGGGGGGGGUGGAGGGGGAGGACGCCUUCGUCCCAACUGCACGUGGACAGCGCCGGGCUCCUCCAGCCCCAUCUUUGCUCCAUCUCCCCAGAGAUCUCACCAAUCUCUCUCCAUCUCCCCAUAGACUUCACCAACCCCUCCCCACCCAACUCUUCAUCUCCCCAUAGAUCUCGUCAACCCCUCCCCACCCCAACUCUCCAUCUCCCCAUAGAUCUCACCAAUCACUCUCCAUCUCCCCAUAGACCUCACCAACCCCUCCCCAUCCCAACUCUCCAUCUCCCCAUAGAUUUCACCAAUCUCUCUCCAUCUCCCCAUAGAUCUCAUCAACCCCUCCUCACCCCAACUCUCCAUCUCCCCAUAGACCUCACCAACCCCUCCCCACCCCAACUCUCCAUCUCCCCAUAGAUUGCGUCAGCUCCUCCCCACCCCAACUCUCCAUCUCCCCAUAGAUGUCACCAAUCUCUCUCCAUCUCCCCAUAGACUUCACCAACCCCUCCCCACCCAACUCUCCAUC